rnacentral:rRNA from 1 species
CAUGACCCGCCUGGGGAUGACGCCUUAGGCUUUAAACUUUAUCGUAGUGAGGAGCGCAAUGACGGUACUACCGUAGAAGCACCGCCAAUUACUUGCCAGCGCAGCGUAAUAUGUGAGGCGAGCGUGUCCUAAGUAUCAGGGUAAAGAGCUCUAGUUGGUUAUCGCAAGUUAGAGAAUCUCACGGAUGAUCUUGAGCGUACGGCGAUACGGGCAGACUUGAGUACUCCAGAAGAGACGAGAAUUCCUGGGUAGCGGUGGAAUGCGUAGAUAUCAGGAGCAACACCGCUAGCGAAGACGGGUCUUCGGUCAUUAACUGACGAUGAGAAGCGAAAGCAUGGGGAGCAACCAGCAUGAGAUGCCAUCGUAGUCCUCCCCGUAAUCGGUGGGUACUAGGUGUGGGUUUCGAUCCUUGUGAUCAGUGCCGUAGCUAACGCAUUAAGUACUCCGCCUGGGGAGUACGGUCGCAAGACUAAAACUCAAAGGAAUUGACGGGGGCCCGCACAAGCGGCGGAGCAUGUGGAUUAAUUCGAUGCAACGCGAAGAACCUUACCUGGUCUUGACAUGCACUAGAAAGCUUCAGAGAUACGGCCCCCUCAGUUGUUGGUGUGCAGAUGGUGCAUGGCCGUGGUCAUCUUGAGUCGUGAGAUGUUGGGUUAAGUCCCGCUACGAGCGCAACCCCAAUCUUAUGUUGCCAGCGCGUCCAGGCGGGGACUCGUAAGAGACGGCCGGGGUCAACUAGGAGGAAGGUGGGGAGGAGGUCAAGUCAUCUUGCCCUUUACGUCCAGGGCUUCACACCUCAUACAAUGCCCGGUACAAAAGGCUGGGAAGCCAAGAGGUGGAGCGAAUCCUUUAAACCCGGUCUCAGUUAGGAUCGGGGUCUGCAACUAGACCCCGUGAAGUAGGAGUCGAUAGUAAUCGCAGAUCAGCAACCACGCGGCGAAUACGUUCCCGGGCCUCGUACACCCCACCCGUCAUGUCACCAAAGUAGGUAACACCCGAA